GAGCGGUACAGACAUUUUGAUUCAGCUUGCUGAAUCUAGUGCUGACGAGCGGCGAACUGGUGAGUAACGCGUAGGAAUCUGCCCAGUAGCGGGGGAUAGCCCGAGGAAACUCGGAUUAAUACCGCAUACGCCCUAAGGGGGAAAGGGGGCAUCUUUGAUGCUCUUACUAUUGGAGGAGCCUGCGUAAGAUUAGCUUGUUGGUAGGGUAAAGGCCUACCAAGGCGACGAUCUUUAGCUGGUCUGAGAGGACGAUCAGCCACAUUGGGACUGAGACACGGCCCAGACGUCUACGGACGGCAGCAGGAGAGAAUAUUGGACAAUGAGGGAAACCUUGAUCCAGCCAUACCGCGUGUGUGAAGAAGGCCUUAGGGUUGUAAAGCACUUUAAGCGAUGAAGAAGAAAAGUGAGUUAAUACCUUACUUUUUUGACGUUACUCGCAGAAUAAGUACCGGCUAACUCCGUGCCAGCAGCCGCGGUAAUACGGAGGGGGCUAGCGUUGUUCGGAAUUACUGGGCGUAAAGCGUAUGUAGGCGGAUCAAAAAGUUAGAUGUGAAAUCCCUGGGCUUAACCCAGGAACUGCAUUUAAAACUAGUGAUCUAGAAUUUGGUAGGGGUUAGUAGAAUUUCCAGUGUAGAGGUGAAAUUCGUAGAUAUUGGAAAGAAUACCAGUGGCGAAGGCGACUAACUGGGCCAUUUUUGACGCUGAGAUAC
rnacentral:rRNA from 1 species